GGGCACAUGGUCUAGGGGUAUGAUUUUCGUUUCGCAUCUGAUGACUUCGUGUUAAAGAGCCUUAUGAAAGGUCCGGGGUUCAAUUCCCCGUGUGUCCA
rnacentral:tRNA from 1 species